rnacentral:rRNA from 1 species
CCUACGGGAGGCAGCAGUGAGGAAUAUUGGUCAAUGGUCGGGAGACUGCACCAGCCAAGCCGCGUGAGGGAUGAAGGUACAGAGUAUCGUAAACCUCUUUUGUCAGGGAACAAAGGAGGGGACGUGUCCCCGGAUGAGUGUACCUGAAGAACAAGCAUCGGCUAACUCCGUGCCAGCAGCCGCGGUAAUACGGAGGAUUCGAGCGUUAUCCGGCUUUAUUGGGUUUAAAGGGUGGGCGGGCGGUCUGUUAAGUCAGCGGUCAAAGCCCGGGGCUCAACCCCGGCCCGCCGUUGAAACUGGCAGUCUCGAGUUGGAGAGAAGUAGGCGGAAUGCGCGGUGUAGCGGUGAAAUGCAUAGAUAGCGCGCAGAACUCCGAUUGCGAAGGCAGCAUGCCGGAUCCACACUGACGCUGAGGCACGAAGGCGUGGGGAUCGAACAGGAUUAGAUACCCCAGUAGUC